GGUCACGGCUGGCGUCUGCAGCGUGCGUGCGAGGAGAGCUUGCCAGCACAGCUUAUCCAGCAGGGUCGCAGCACAUGCGCCUCCCGAGAGCGCAGAUCCUCGCUCCGCGGAGCCGGGAGCAAGCGGGUUCCCGGGACGCCGGGCCAGUUCCUUGGAUACUCCAGGAUCAGAGGGCUGCAGCAUGAUGCCUGCAUGGCCCAGCCCCGCUAAAGUGCUUCCAUGCUGAGGAGAGGAUUAAAAAUCUGCUCCACUAGGGUUUGUCUGUGUAGCUCUGGCUGGCCUGGAACUCACUCUGUAGAUCAGGAUGGCCUUAAACUCCUGAUCCUCCUGAGUGCUGGGAUUAAAGACCAGAAGCAUGGCCACCCCUGUAGCUUCUUAGGAGUGCAGACUCCCAGGGCUGGAGAUGGCUCAGCACGCAAUAAUGACAC
rnacentral:lncRNA from 1 species